rnacentral:lncRNA from 1 species
GUCUGCAACAUCACAGUAUAUCUGUUAUGUUAUAGUAUUACUACUAAGUCACAGUAUUUCUGCCAAUUCAAGGAGGCUGACUGUUACUAAGUGCAUCAGUGUACAUAGGUCAUCUCUUGUGUUGGAGUGCCCUCUUGUGGCGCCUUUUGGGUAGUGCCUUAGUAAACGUGAAACUGCAAAGAAGUGGUAUCAGACUGGUUUGUAGUGGAGGAAUUUUUUUUGCCAGUUUCUUUCAUCUUUAAUCCGUAUUCAUGUUGUAAUGUAGUAACUUUUGUGGCACAAAUACCACAAUAUGGCAGAAAUACCAUGUUUUGGCACAAAUACUUUGAUUUGGUAUACUUUAGCUUCUUCACCCCUUUUCAGCAAAAUGUUCAUUUUUUUCACCCCUUUUC